rnacentral:lncRNA from 1 species
AACGGCUUUCCUGUUGGGCGAACCCUUAACAAGGAAAUAACUGGCUCCAAACAUCCAGGGGCGGCGGGGAGUUCACAGCAGAGCCAGCUCUGAACUCCGCAGCUUGAGCUCCCGGGUACAAUGCAGCCGGCCCCUGCGCAUGGAGCUGCCGGUGGCGGAGCUGCGGGGAGCUGCCCUUAUUUAUUUGUUCCUACCGCACGGGCUGAGACACGGGCUGUGUUUUAUGUUCCUCUGCAGGAAGGUGAUAAAGUGCCUGAGAGCUGCCGAAAACCCUUCGCCAAUAAAUUCAAAGGGAAAGGCCAUUUCUCAUGCCUUGGAAGGGGAGCUGAGGGAUGCUGGAAGGCAGAGAAGACUGAAACGGCGCGUCGCAUGGCAGCGUGGCAGGAGGCACAGGAGCAAAUUUUCUGGAUUAAGACGGCUGCAGAAGACGGAUGGCAAGGACACUGGGCAUCUUUGCCAGGAGCAGAUAGUGCAUAGAAAACAUGGCUGGUUUGGAGCAAACUGACACUUCACAUUGGUGGCCAGCAGCCCCGCUUGCUCACAGUCGUCACCACUGGGUCCUGGCCUCCCUGUGGAGGGUCUUCUCUCUCCUCCCUUUCUUCUUCAGGGAGAGGGUGCUGCCGUUUCAAUAAUGGCAACAGUGGACUCACUGUGCAUUAGUCCUCAUUAGCUUGUAUGUGCCUCCAGGCAAUACAUAAUGGGCCUUGACAUUUGCCAUCAAGAAAAUGAAGUCCUCCCAGUUUCGGGGCACCCUGUGCUGGUUUUGUACCAAAGCAUUUCGUAUCGACAGCUAUUUCAUUUCAAUAAACUAGCAAUAAGCCU